rnacentral:rRNA from 1 species
UGGCGGCGUGCCUCAAACAUGCAAGUCGAGCGUGGGCAGAUUGCCUCGCAAGAGGUGAUCUGCUCUAGCGGCGGACGGGUGCGUAACACGUGGGGAACCAACCCUCCAGAUGGGGACAACCUCGGGAAACCGGGGCUAAUACCGAAUACGCUUGCCGGGUCGCAUGGCCUGGUAAGGAAAGGAUCGCAAGAUCGCUGGAGGACGGUCCCGCGGCCUAUCAGCUAGUUGGCGAGGUAACGGCCCACCAAGGCGAUNACGGGUAGCUGGCCUGAGAGGGUGGUCAGCCACACUGGAACUGAGACACGGUCCAGACUCCUACGGGAGGCAGCAGUUGGGAAUUUUGGGCAAUGGGCGCAAGCCUGAACCANCGACGCCCNCGUGGGGGGAUGAAAGCCUUCGGGUUGUAAANCCCUGUCAGGAGGGACAACCGCAAGGUGACGGUACCUCCAGAAGAAGCCCGGCUAACUACUUCCACAGCCGCGGUA